rnacentral:rRNA from 1 species
GACGAACGCUGGCGGCGUGCUUAACACAUGCAAGUCGAACGGAAAGGCCCUGCUUUUGUGGGGUGCUCGAGUGGUGAACGGGUGAGUAACACGUGAGUAACCUGCCCUUGACUUUGGGAUAACUUCAGGAAACUGGGGCUAAUACCGGAUAGGAGCUCCUGCUGCAUGGUGGGGGUUGGAAAGUUUCGGCGGUUGGGGAUGGACUCGCGGCUUAUCAGCUUGUUGGUGGGGUAGUGGCUUACCAAGGCUUUGACGGGUAGCCGGCCUGAGAGGGUGACCGGCCACAUUGGGACUGAGAUACGGCCCAGACCCCUACGGGAGGCAGCAGUGGGGAAUAUUGCACAAUGGGCGGAAGCCUGAUGCAGCAACGCCGCGUGCGGGAUGACGGCCUUCGGGUUGUAAACCGCUUUCGCCUGUGACGAAGCGUGAGUGACGGUAAUGGGUAAAGAAGCACCGGCUAACUACGUG